rnacentral:rRNA from 1 species
GGAUGAACGCUAGCGGGAGGCUUAACACAUGCAAGUCGAGGGGCAGCAUAGGGUAGCAAUACUCUGAUGGCGACCGGCAAACGGGUGAGUAACGCGUAUGCAACCUACCCUGUACAGGGGGAUAACCCGGAGAAAUUCGGACUAAUAUCCCGUAAUAAUAUCCGGAGGCAUCUUUGGAUAUUUAAAGUUCCGACGGUACGGGAUGGGCAUGCGUAACAUUAGCUGGUUGGUAAGGUAACGGCUUACCAAGGCUAUGAUGUUUAGGGGUCCUGAGAGGGUGGUCCCCCACACUGGUACUGAGACACGGACCAGACUCCUACGGGAGGCAGCAGUGAGGAAUAUUGGUCAAUGGGCGCAAGCCUGAACCAGCCAUCCCGCGUGCAGGAAGACGGCCCUAUGGGUUGUAAACUGCUUUUCCAGGGAGAGAAACUUACGCACGUGUUGCGUGACUGACGGUACCCUGGGAAUAAGCAUCGGCUAACUCCGUGCCAGCAGCCGCGGUAAUACGGAGGAUGCAAGCGUUAUCCGGAUUCAUUGGGUUUAAAGGGUGCGUAGGCGGGCUAUUAAGUCAGUGGUGAAAUCCUGCAGCUUAACUGCAGAACUGCCGUUGAUACUGAUAGUCUUGAGUUUGGUUAAGGUAGGCGGAAUGUGUAAUGUAGCGGUGAAAUGCUUAGAUAUUACACAGAACACCAAUUGCGUAGGCAGCUUACUGAGCCGACACUGACGCUGAGGCACGAAAGCGUGGGGAUCAAACAGGAUUAGAUACCCUGGUAGUCCACGCCGUAAACGAUGAUUACUCGCUGUUGGCGAUACACUGUCAGCGGCUAAGCAAAAGCAAUAAGUAAUCCACCUGGGGAGUACGGCCGCAAGGUUGAAACUCAAAGGAAUUGACGGGGGCCCGCACAAGCGGUGGAGCAUGUGGUUUAAUUCGACGCAACGCGAAGAACCUUACCAGGUUUUGACAUCCUCUGACAGCUCAAGAGAUUGGGUGUUCAAUCUUCGGAUUGACAGAGAGACAGGUGGUGCAUGGUUGUCGUCAGCUCGUGUCGUGAGAUGUUGGGUUAAGUCCCGCAACGAGCGCAACCCUUAUUCUUAGUUGCCAGCAAGCAAGAUGGGCACUCUAAGGAGACUGCCGGUGACAAACCGGAGGAAGGUGGGGAUGACGUCAAAUCAUCAUGCCCUUUAUGACCUGGGCGACACACGUGCUACAAUGGCCUGUACAAAGGGUAGCGAAGCUGUGAAGUGGAGCCAAUCCCAAAAAGCAGGUCUCAGUUCGGAUUGCAGGCUGCAACUCGCCUGCAUGAAGUCGGAAUCGCUAGUAAUCGCGGAUCAGCACGCCGCGGUGAAUACGUUCCCGGGCCU